rnacentral:rRNA from 1 species
AUUGAACGCUGGCGGCAGGCUUAACACAUGCAAGUCGAGCGGAGAGGGGUAGCUUGCUACUGAUCUUAGCGGCGGCCGGGGGAGUAAUGCUUAGGAAUCUGCCUAUUAGUGGGGGACAACAUUUCGAAAGGAAUGCUAAUACCGCAUACGUCCUACGGGAGAAAGCAGGGGAUCUUCGGACCUUGCGCUAAUAGAUGAGCCUAAGUCGGAAUAGCUAGGUGGUGGGGUAAAGGCCUACCAAGGCGACGAUCUGUAGCGGGUCUGAGAGGAUGAUCCGCCACACUGGGACUGAGACACGGCCCAGACUCCUACGGGAGGCAGCAGUGGGGAAUAUUGGACAAUGGGCGGAAGCCUGAUCCAGCCAUGCCGCGUGUGUGAAGAAGGCCUUAUGGUUGUAAAGCACUUUAAGCGAGGAGGAGGCUACUUUAGUUAAUACCUAGAGAUAGUGGACGUUACUCGCAGAAUAAGCACCGGCUAACUCUGUGCCAGCCGCCGCAGUAA